GUUUCGAGUUGUCUCACAUAUGGUGUCUACAAAUGCCUCAAAUAUGCAAAAGUUUUUGUGUUUCCAUUGGUCAGGUAAGAAGUCAAUGACAUCACAUAACUCACAUUUAUCUCUUCCAUAAACCAAACUGUCUGUCUGUUUGCAAGUACAAGAUACACCUACAGGUCAAUGAUACAAAAGGGGGGACUACUGUGGUCUUGCUUAAUGAUCUUGCAGAAAAGCUGCUGGACACCUCAGCUUUUAAGUUGGUCAAUAGGCACUCAUUGAAUAACAAUGACAAGUCAACAAAUCCAAAACCUGUGCGUCAAAAAAAUUGUGUUCAAGCUUAAACUGAACAACUUUAAAAUAAAAGAUAGGCUUGAAAACUUUACAACCUUGAAGCUUUUCAUUCCAGAUAAGAAAUUCACAUUGCAGUACAGCUCAAGAACAGAUCCGAAGGGAAAACACAAAGUAGAGGAUAACUUUGUUCCUACGAAUCAGAAUGGCAAAUGAAUUACAGUGGUCAAUUAGGAAGAUUAUCUAACAGAUUCACAUGACGAUGAGGAUGUUACCACCUCGAAAAGAAGAACGUCAACAAGAAGGAUUGCAAAGAGAAGAAAUCUAUUCGUUGAUGAUACCGAUUUUACUGAUGGAGACAAAAAAAACAGCAAAGAAAUAGCCUUUACUCUUUACGCUAGACGUUAAAAAAUUGUGUACUACCAUAUGUUUUCCUUGUAUAGUGACUGCAAUAAUGUUUGUUAUCAUAGGAGAUUAACGAUUACUAUCCUUUGAUUUUUCUGGAAUUUAUAAAUGUAAACAUGUUUUUGAGUACUACUAGUUUAACGUA